rnacentral:rRNA from 1 species
AGCAGUAUUGAACUGAAGAGUUUGAUCAUGGCUCAGAUUGAACGCUGGCGGCAGGCCUAACACAUGCAAGUCGAGCGGAUGAAGGGAGCUUGCUCCUGGAUUCAGCGGCGGACGGGUGAGUAAUGCCUAGGAAUCUGCCUGGUAGUGGGGGAUAACGUCCGGAAACGGGCGCUAAUACCGCAUACGUCC